ACCACUAGCGGCGCUUUUCUUCUGUUUUUCUCCUUUUUUUUUUCUCUCUUUCAAUUCAAAAUAAAACAAAUAAAAAAAAGUGAUAGUUUUGCUUCAAAAAAGACCCCUUCUCACACAUUCAUUAGAUUAUGAUGGUUCUAGUGUUAACUUCAUAUACCUCUUAAACUCUUUCAUUCUAUGAGUAACUACCAUAGAACUCUCUUUCUUUUUCACUUCCGAUUACUACUUUG
rnacentral:lncRNA from 1 species